rnacentral:piRNA from 1 species
UAAUAAAACGACGAGCUCUGCGUGUGA